GCGGAUGUGGCGGAACUGGUAGACGCACUGGAUUUAGGUUCCAGCGCCGCAAGGCGUGGAGGUUCGAUUCCUCUCAUCCGCACCA
rnacentral:tRNA from 1 species